rnacentral:lncRNA from 1 species
GGAACAUAUUAGAGAAAUUGGUGAAUAGAAGUAUCCCCAUGGCCACAGUCUGCACACGCUGAAACCAAGCAAUGCUGGCUUGAAGAGCAGCCACAAGGGAGACGUGUGGGGAAAGGAGAGGGAGUUGCCUACUUUCUAGGGAAGCGGGGCCUGAGAGCUGUGGUGUUGACCUGACAGUUUUACCAAGGUGGCCCACUGCUCCUCCCAGAGCAGCUCAAAGAGGACCGGCUGUGAAGAGGGAUGGCACGGGAUUGGGAGCUUUCAAUGAGCUGGAGCGAGGGAAGCUAAUCUCAGAGCGCACCUCUUCCAGGAAGUCUGCCAAGAGGAGGAGUGUCAAUGAGUUUCCAUUAGUCUUCAUUCCGGUUUCAGGCGAGGCGCAUGGACAUCUUUGAUUAAGGGAUCCCAUUCCAGGUCCAAAGUUGGGAAGGAUAUGUGUCUUCUAACCUGGACCUUUUCAUGGAGGACAGGGCUUCUGAGACGGGGCCCAGACACAGCUGGAUGGAUGUGUCAGAUCUUCAAAUGUGGUUGAUGGUCCCUUUUAUCACCUGGGUAUGGCUGUCGC